rnacentral:rRNA from 1 species
UGCCGCGUGAGUGAAGAAGGUCUUCGGAUUGUAAAGCUCUUUCGACGGGGAUGAUGAUGACGGUACCCGUAGAAGAAGACCCCGGCUAACUUCGUGC